rnacentral:rRNA from 1 species
CCUACGGGUGGCAGCAGUGAGGAAUCUUUGUCAAUGGACGAGAGCCUGAACCAGCCAAGCCGCGUGAGGGAUGACUGCCCUGCGUAUUGUAAACUUCUUUUAUGAGGGAAUAAAUCCAGGCACUAGUCCCUUUUUGAGUGUACUUUAUGAAUAAGGAUCGGCUAACUCCGUGCCAGCAGCCGCGGUAAUACGGAGGGUGCGAGCGUUAUCCUGAUUUAUUGGGGUUAAAGGGCGGGUAGAGGGGUUGUUAAGUCAGUUGUGAAAGGCUGGGGCUCAACCCUCAGAUGGCAAUUGAUACUGGGAGUCUAGAGUAGAGGUGAGGUAGGCGGAAUUCGUGGUGUAGCGGUGAAAUGCUUAGAUAUCGCGAAGAACCCCGAUGGCGAAGGCAGCGUACUAAACAGACACUGACACUGAUGCACGAAGGCGUGGGUAUCGAACAGGAUUAGAUACCCGAGUAGUC